rnacentral:lncRNA from 1 species
AUGAUGAAGCAAAGUACGUUGAUUUUGUUAGGUGUAUUGGCCACGGUGCACAUUGUCAUGAGCCACUGUGGUGCCCGUAACUGCGGGGCCGGAUGCGGCUGCGGGGCCGGCUGGGGAUCAUACGGAGGAGGCUACGGGUCCGGAUGCGGCGCUGGGUUCGGGCGCUACGGCGGAGUGGUAGGCGGAUUUGGCAACGGACUUGGUGGCAUCGGCGGUGGUUUUGGCAGAGUAUACGGUGGUUUCGGAGGAGCUGGCGGUUUCGGAGGUACCGGUGGCUUCGGAGGAUUCGGAGGUACCGGUGGCUUCGGAGGAUUCGGAGGUGGCGCUGGAGCUGGUUCGGCCGCCGCAGCCGCUGCCGCUGCCGGAACAAUCGUACAACCGGUUGCUGGACCAGGCAGAAUCAUCGUCCAGGAGGCACCGACCGUUGUUCCAGAAUACGUGGACAGUGCACCCAUCGUCUUAGAGCAGGAGGCUGCUCCCAGGUUCGUCUUCGGUGACUCUACCCCGGUCCGGCUAUCCCACCAGUCCAGACCGGCAGUGAUCGAGCACUUCGAGACCCCGUACAUCAUCGAUGCCGUUCAACGCACGGCCUUCAUCAACCACGCUUCUCAGCCUGUCAUCAUCGACCACUACGAACAGCCCGAGGUCAUCUCUGACGAGGGAAUCCCGGUUAUUUACGAGCCUGCCUGUGGGGGUUCUGGCUCUUCCUGCGGGUGUGGAGCAGCUGGUUGCGACGGUGGCUGUGGCAUUCCUGUUUGCCACUAAAAAUGAUAAGAUGCUGAAAAUAAGUAUUAACAUUCGUUAAAUUAAAGCGAAUAGAAAUAAACACCACAUCUUAAUAAAAUAUAAGUACCACGAGAAAGUGAGUACCGAUUUUUUUCCAGUUGUACUCAUUCACAUACCACAGGAGAAAUAUUAUUGGUGUGCGAAGAUGUUGUAUAGUGUAAGUCUUCGAUCUCGUUAACCUGAGCCACGCGCGGUAAUCGCUGAUAAGAAGAAAAAAAAAUAAUUUUACGGGGGUUCUCCGUACAUUCAUUGUCAAUUUCCUGUGCGACGGAACACGUUUCAAAUGCUACUUCGCCAAAAUUUAAAAAAUAAUCGUUAGGGCCCCAAAAAUUAAUAAGCCUCUAUUACAACACUUACUUAAAUUGAUUAUUUAAGUAAAAAGGAGAAAAGACCUGAUUUUUUAAGAAAGAGAAAUAGAAAAAAGGGGGACAAAAAUGAAUGUGGGAAAAAGGAGCUACACUGUAAUUUAUGUCUACUCCUUUACUACCCUCCUCUUCAACCUUUUUUUAUUUGCAUUAUUAAAUUUAAAAUUUUUGAACAUACGAGCAUACGAACAUACAUACUGCUGCCGGAUUAGGAACCGGAUUUUGGUGAUAACUAGCCCACAAUGCGUCCGAAUUAGGUUUUCUUAGACUUUCCUGAUAGCUUGAAAUAUACUCAAGAACUCUACAUUCACAAAUUUGAAAAAUCCUAAUUAGCUGCAUUGGUAUGUGGCUUGAAGUAAGGUAACUUCAUGGGCGUUCUGCGAUUUUUAUGUUUGACCGAACUUUUCUCUCUUUUUUCGGUCUUGCACUACCUUUUUCAACCCACAAGGAUGAUCGGAGUUUCGUUUCCAUAUCGUAGCCGUGCUCUCAAUUUUUGUCACCGAAAAUUGUCCUAUCCAAAAAAGAACGUUCAAGCAGCUAAGGGAAAUUGAUAUUCGGUUGGAUCACUGUUCGACGGACAACAAUCAAGGGCAAGUUUAGCUGAAACUCGAUGCAUGCCUACUUAUUCUAUAAAAAUUGUACGGACAGAGCCUUCAGAAAUAUUACACUGUUCAGCAAGCUCGAAACGACCAUUUUCGAGCACUUCUGCCCGCACUUCUUCCACGUGGCAAAUGUCAGUUGCCGUUGAUGGUCGAUUCCCGUGCUCCUCAUCUUCGACGGACUCCUAACCAGUUUUGCAUCGUUUAACCCACGCAAAACAGUGAGAACAAUUCAUAUAAUGAUCUUGGUAAACUUUACUUAGCAUAACAAAAGUUUCGGUACAAGGUAUACCGAGUUUAAAACAAAAUUUAAUGCUACAUCUUUGCUCUAUCACUGAUCGCAUGAUGAAAAUCGCAGAACGCACCAGACUUACUCGUGUUCAAGGUGACACAGAAUGAACACUGAUCAUGAUGGACAAAAUCUAUUAAUCUAGCCUUCUUAAGUAUAUUUCCAGCCAUCAGGAAAGUCCAAGAAAACCUAUUUCGGACGCAUUGUGGACUAGUUAUCGGAAAAAAUAGGGUAGUCGACAAAACCAGAAGGUAGUUAAAACAGCGCCAGCUACCGUGCGGUAGUUACGAUAACUACCG